UAUGGUCAUAUCAAGCUGAAACAACGGUUCUUGUCUGAUCACCGAAGUUAAGCCACGUCAGGUAUGGUCAGUACCAACAUGGGUACCCAUUUUAGAAUACCAGGUGUUGUAUU